rnacentral:siRNA from 1 species
CAUAGCGUUUGUACAAUUAGUGC